rnacentral:rRNA from 1 species
UACAGAGGGUGCGAGCGUUGUCCGGAAUCACUGGGCGUAAAGGGCGCGUAGGUGGCGCCGCAAGUCCAUGGUGAAAGCUCGAUGCUCAACAUCGAGUCGGCCACGGAGACUGCGGGGCUCGAGCACUGUAGGGGCAGAUGGAAUUCCGGGUGUAGCGGCGGAAUGCGUAGAGAUCCGGAAGAACACCGGUGGCGAAGGCGGUUCUCUGGGAAUGACCUGACGCUGAGGAGCGAAAGUGUGGGGAGCGAACAGG